UACGGGGGGAGCAAGCGUUGUUCGGAUUUACUGGGUGUAAAGGGCGCGUAGGCGGCCAGCACAAGUCAGUUGUGAAAUCUCCGAGCUUAACUCGGAAAGGUCAACUGAUACUGUGCGGCUAGAGUGCAGAAGGGGCAACUGGAAUUCUUGGUGUAGCGGUGAAAUGCGUAGAUAUCUGGAGGAACACCGGUGGCGAAGGCGGCAUCCUGGACCGGCAUUGACGCUGAGGCGCGAAAGCUAGGGGAGCAAACGGG
rnacentral:rRNA from 1 species